rnacentral:rRNA from 1 species
ACCGCCUCUUGCGAAUUAUAAGUAUAAGAGGUCCCGCCUGCCCUCUGACAAUAUGUUUAACGGCCGCGGUAUUUUGACCGUGCAAAGGUAGCGCAAUCACUUGUCUUUUAAAUGAAGACCUGUAUGAAUGGCAUAACGAGGGCUUAACUGUCUCCUUUUUCAAGUCAAUGAAAUUGAUCUUCCCGUGCAGAAGCGGGAAUAUAAACAUAAGACGAGAAGACCCUGUGGAGCUUUAGAUACAAAAUAGACCUUGUUAAACACUCCAAACUAAUGGAUCACAACCAAAAGAACCCUAUUUUAAUGUCUUCGGUUGGGGCGACCACGGGGAAUAUAAAACCCCCACGUAGAACGGGAGAACACCUCCUACAACCAAGAGUUACAACUCUAAUUAAUAGAAUAUCUAACUAAAAGAUCCGGCAGAGCCGAUCAACGAACCAAGUUACCCCAGGGAUAACAGCGCAAUCCCCUUCUAGAGCCCAUAUCGACAAGGGGGUUUACGACCUCGAUGUUGGAUCAGGACAUCCUAAUGGUGUAGCCGCUAUUAAAGGUUCGUUUGUUCAACGAUUAAAGUCCUACGUGAUCUGAGUU